rnacentral:rRNA from 1 species
CCUACGGGAGGCAGCAGUGGGGACUUUUGGACAAUGGGCGCAAGCCUGAUCCAGCUAUUCCGCGUGUGGGAUGAAGGCCCUCGGGUUGUAAACCACUUUUGUAGAGAACGAAAAGACACCUUUUAAUAAAGGGUGUUGCUGACGGUACUCUAAGAAUAAGCACCGGCUAACUACGUGCCAGCAGCCGCGGUAAUACGUAGGGUGCGAGCGUGAAGGGAAAUUAAUGGGCGAAAGGGGUGCGCAGGCGGUUGAGUAAGACAGAUGUGAAUUCCCGGAGCUUAACUCGGGAAUGGCAUAUGUGCCUGCUCGACUAGAGUGUGUCAGAGGGAGGUGGAAUGCCACGUGUAGCAGUGAAAUGCGUAGAUAUGUGGAAGAACAUCGAUGGCGAAGGCAGCCUCCUGGGACAUAACUGACGCUCAGGCACGAAAGCGUGGGGAGCAAACAGGAUUAGAUACCCCUGUAGUC